rnacentral:rRNA from 1 species
UACGUAGGGAGCAAGCGUUGUCCGGAAUCAUUGGGCGUAAAGCGCGCGUAGGUGGUCCCGUAAGUCCGCUGUGAAAGUCAAAGGCUCAACCUUUGAAAGCCGGUGGAUACUGUGGGACUAGAGUACGGAAGAGGCGAGUGGAAUUCCUGGUGUAGCGGUGAAAUGCGCAGAUAUCAGGAGGAACACCAAUGGCGAAGGCAGCUCGCUGGAACGGUACUGACGCUGAGGCGCGAAAGCGUGGGGAGCGAACAGG